rnacentral:tRNA from 1 species
GCCGCCGUAGCUCAGGGGUAGAGCACACCAUUGGUAAUGGUGGGGUCGACAGUUCAAUUCUGUCCGGCGGCACCA